CCUACGGGAGGCUGCAGUGGGGAAUAUUGGGCAAUGGGCGCAAGCCUGACCCAGCAAAGCCGCGUGAAGGAAGAAGGCUUUCGGGUUGUAAACUUCUUUUAAGAGGGAAGAGCAGAAGACGGUACCUCUUGAAUAAGCCACGGCUAACUACGUGCCAGCAGCCACGGUAAUACGUAGGUGGCAAGUGUUGUCCGGAUUUACUGGGUGUAAAGGGCGUGCAGCCGGUAAGACAAGUCAGAUGUGAAAUCUCGCGGCUCAACCGCGGAACUGCAUUUGAAACUGUUAUUCUUGAGUACCGGAGAGGUCAGCGGAAUUCCUUGUGUAGCGGUGAAAUGCUUAGAUAUAAGGAAGAACACCAGUUGCGAAGGCGGAUGACUGGACUGCAACUGACGGUGAGGCUCGAAAGCGUGGGGAGCAAACAGGAUUAGAUACCCUUGUAGUC
rnacentral:rRNA from 1 species